rnacentral:rRNA from 1 species
GACGAACGCUGGCGGCGUGCCUAAUACAUGCAAGUCGAGCGGGCCUCCGGAGGUGCUUGCACCUCCGGACGGCCAGCGGCGGACGGGUGAGUAACACGUGGGCAACCUGCCUUUGAGGCCGGGAUCACACCGGGAAACCGGUGCUAAUACCGGAUACGUCCUCUUUCGCGCCUGCGAGAGGGGAGAAAGACGGUCUUUAAGGCCGUCGCACACAGAGGGGCCCGCGGCGCAUUAGCUGGUUGGUGGGGCAAGGGCCUACCAAGGCGACGAUGCGUUGCCGACCUGAGAGGGUGAUCGGCCACACUGGGACUGAGACACGGCCCAGACUCCUGCGGGAGGCAGCAGUAGGGAAUCAUCCGCAAUGGGCGAAAGCCUGACGGUGCAACGCCGCGUGAGUGAGGAAGGUUUUCGGAUCGUAAAGCUCUGUUGUGAGGGAAGAACAGCAUCCGGAGGAAAUGCCGGAGGUUUGCCGGUACCUCACCAGAAAGCCCCGGCUAACUACGUGCCAGCAGCCGCCGUAACAC